AUCCGCUGCGUCGGUGACAGUUGGGAGCCCCUGCUCGAGCUUGAAUAAAUGGCCCUCAUGUGCUUACAUUGGAAUUGGCUUCCUGGUGGUCUUUGGGACUUCGCGAUCUGGGCAUAACAUUUGGGGGCUGGUCCGGGAUCCCCAAGCUCCUCAGGACCCCCGAACCGGAGGGUCGACACCAGCUGCCCACUUGAGAUGAUUGUCAGCAGCUCCUCCAGAUCCUGUUUACAACAGAGGAGCAUGAAAGAAUCCAGAAUGAGGCCAGGAAAUUGGUUCCUGGUGACAAUGGUCAACCCACCACCAAUGAUGAUACUAUCAACACUUCUUUUCCUUCGUCCCGGCCCAACUGGGACUUCCACACAGCAGAAGUUAUCUGGAAUUCAUGCAACAGUGACUUCAAAAUAUUCCUGUACCUUAUCACAACAACAAGCAUGGUCCUGUAAAACAAAGAACAUUAGAUUGCUGUUCACUGAAGUGUGGUAUAAACUCUAUUUAAGAAGAUGUUUUAUGGAAAUUGUAGAAAACAGAGAAGAGAUGACAAUGUACAAAAUCAAACCCUCUAGAAUCUCUAGCUUCAGAAAAUAUCAAGUAUAGCUCAGUUUUAUUAAGGUUAUAAAUUGAAGCCUAGAUCUAUAGCCCUUGUAUCAGUCAGCUAUUCCAUUGCUGCUACAAAAUGUGUGACACCCACAAAUUAAUGGAGAAAAUGGGUUUAUGGUUUCAGAGCCUUCAGUCCCUGAUCACAUGACUUCAAAGCAGCAGUAUGGUGGAAAGGUGUGCUAGAGUAAAGCUGCUCACUUCUAGACCAUCAGGCCACACACAAAGAAAGAGCUUCAGUGGGAGAUAUUCCUUUCAAAGACAAGGUGCUAGGGUCACCUCCUCUAAAUAGCACAUUCAACUCUGAACAUUGGAAGUUAGUCCACUGAUGAGUUUAUAACACUCCCAUGAUUCAAUCAUUUCUCCAGGUUACCUGGCACCAAUCUUUUCUCAGAUACUAUUAACAAAAAUUGAAAAAUAAAGAGUAUUGAAGAGUAAUGGAUUUAUAUUUACAAAGAAGAGGUAAAUCUAAUGCACAAGCAGAAAAACUUCUUUGAUAUAAGAACAUGCAAAGUUGAUAUACUACAAGAAAUAGAGUAUUGCUUCCUUUUCAAUUUCAUUGAAGUAUUUAAACAGUAGUGGCACUAGUUCUUCUCUAAAGGUCUUGUA